rnacentral:rRNA from 1 species
AUUGAACGCUGGCGGCAGGCCUAACACAUGCAAGUCGAACGAGUGGCGGACGGGUGAGUAAUGUCUGGGAAACUGCCUGAUGGAGGGGGAUAACUACUGGAAACGGUAGCUAAUACCGCAUACUAUACGAUGUGCCCAGAUGGGAUGAGCUUGUUGGUGGGGUAACGGCUCACCAAGGCGACGAUCCCUAGCUGAUCUGAGAGGAUGACGAGCAACACUGGAACUGAGAAACGGUCCAGACUCCUACGGGAGGAAGCAGUGGGGAAUAUUGCACAAGGGGGGCAAGCCUGAUGAAGCCAUGCCGCGUGUAUGAAGAAGGCCUUCGGGUUUUAAAGUACUUUCAGCGGGGAGGCGUUACCCGAAGAAGAAGCGCCGGCUAACUCCGUGCCAGCAGCCGCGGUAAUAC